rnacentral:lncRNA from 1 species
GACAUAACUCUAUCAUCAUUAAAACAUUAUGUCUAUUUUCAGCACUCUCUCUGUAUGAGAAUUUUUAAUAAAUAAUUUUGAUUUUUUUGAAUUUCAUAAAAGCAUAACAAAAAGCCAGCAUAUAAUGACAAGCUCAUAUGUUCGCUUUCUGUAGACAGCCAACAUAUGAGCCUGUCAUUUUACCCAGAUGGUCUUCAGAUCCAGCUUCAUACAAAACAUCAGCAUUUAAUUUUUACUUUAGAAGAGCCAAUGCUUAUUUCACUAAUCAAUAUGACAUGAGAAAAGAGCUUGAUUAUAUUUAUGAACUAGGGCAACAAUAUGGAUACAGUAGGUGUUUUUUAGAAACAAUCUAUUAUAAAGUGCAG